rnacentral:rRNA from 1 species
UACGAAGGGGGCUAGCGUUGUUCGGAAUUACUGGGCGUAAAGCGCACGUAGGCGGACAUUUAAGUCAGGGGUGAAAUCCCAGAGCUCAACUCUGGAACUGCCUUUGAUACUGGGUGUCUUGAGUAUGGAAGAGGUGAGUGGAAUUCCGAGUGUAGAGGUGAAAUUCGUAGAUAUUCGCAAGAACACCAGUGGCGAAGGCGGCUCACUGGCUCGAUACUGACGCUGAGGUGCGAAAGCGUGGGGAGCAAACAGG